AUUGAACGCUGGCGGCAGGCCUAACACAUGCAAGUCGAGCGAGCGGCGGACGUGUGAGUAAUGUCUGUGAAACUGCCGGAUGGAGGGGGAUAACUACUGGAAACGGAAGCUAAUACCGCAUACUAUCAGAUGUGCUCAGAUGUGCUUAGCUAGUAGGUGGGGUAACGGCUCACCUAGGCGACGAUCCCUAGCUGGUCUGAGAGGAUGACCAGCCACACGGAAACUGGGAAACGGUCCAGACUCCGACGGGAGGCAGCAGGGGGGAAUAGUGCCCAAUGGGCGAAAGCCUGAUGCAGCCAUGCCGCGUGUGUGAAGAAGGCCUUCGGGUUGUAAAGCACUUUCAGCGGGGAGGCGUUACCCGCAGAAGAAGCACCGGCUAACUCCGUGCCAGCAGCCGCGGUAAUAC
rnacentral:rRNA from 1 species